rnacentral:rRNA from 1 species
CGUAGGGUGCGAGCGUUAAUCGGAAUUACUGGGCGUAAAGCGUGCGCAGGCGGUUUUGUAAGACAGGCGUGAAAUCCCCGGGCUCAACCUGGGAACUGCGCUUGUGACUGCAAGGCUAGAGUACGGCAGAGGGGGGUGGAAUUCCACGUGUAGCAGUGAAAUGCGUAGAGAUGUGGAGGAACACCAAUGGCGAAGGCAGCCCCCCUGGGUCGAUACUGACGCUCAUGCACGAAAGCGUGGGUAGCAAACAGGAUUAGAUACCCUGGUAGCCCACGCCCUAAACGAUGUCAACUAGGUGUUGGGUGGGUAAAACCAUUUAGUACCGGAGCUAACGCGUGAAGUUGACCGCCUGGGGAGUACGGCCGCAAGGUUA